GUCUGCACUUGUCGGGGAAGGAUGAGAAGCUUCGACUAAGGUUCGAUUCGAGCGCAGCGAGAAAGCGUUGCCGCAGGCAACGACCCGAAGGGCGAAGCGCGCAGCGCUGAGUCAUCCUUCCCCCACCACCA
rnacentral:sRNA from 1 species